rnacentral:rRNA from 1 species
GACGAACGCUGGCGGCAUGCCUAAUACAUGCAAGUCGAGCGAACAGAUGAAGUGCUUGCACUUCUGACGUUAGCGGCGAACGGGUGAUUAACACGUAAGGAAUCUACCUAUAAGCGGGGGAUAACAUGCGGAAACGGGUGCUAAUACCGCAUAAUAUCUUCUUCCGCAUGGAAGAAGAUUGAAAGCCGGAUCUGCUGUCACUUAUAGAUGACCUUGCGGUGCAUUAGUUAGUUGGUGGGGUAAUGGCCUACCAAGACGAUGAUGCAUAGCCGACCUGAGAGGGUGAUCGGCCACAUUGGGACUGAGACACGGCCCAAACUCCUACGGGAGGCAGCAGUAGGGAAUCUUCCGCAAUGGGCGAAAGCCUGACGGAGCAAUGCCGCGUGAGUGAAGAAGGCCUUCGGGUCGUAAAACUCUGUUAUAAGAGAAGAACAAAUUGUAGAGUAACUGCUACAGUCUUGACGGUAUCUUAUCAGAAAGCCACGGCUAACUACGUGCCAGCCGCCGCGGUAA